CUCUCGAAGGGAAAGGGAAACGGGGAAGGGAGGGUCGGUUUUCAGGGCCUUGUUGCGUCGACACUGGUGUCGUCAUUGCUGCCCUUCCUUCGCACGGCGCUGCGGCCUCUCUCGCUCCUUCACCAUGCUCCCCUUCCGCUCUGUGGAGGCACACUGCGAUGUGGGAGUCCUACACCGAGACGGGUUUGGUUGACGUGACUACCACAGUGGGAAAAUCUCCGGAGGGGCUAGCUGAGAUGGAAGCCCUGAGUGAAGGUGGUUUCGGAGGUGGAAGUGGAUUACAGCAUCCAACGCUGUUGUGUUCCUGCAAUUGACGUACGCAGAGGCUCGAGAUGCACCAAGUUGUUUGACUAGAACGAAUGCCAUGAGAGUAUGUGUUCGAAGAAACCGCUGGCAAACUUACUGUCAACACUCAUCCUUUGAUGUUUCUGCAACGUACUUGGUUACCAAAUCUUGGAGUUGUCAGUGUAAAUCAUAUGCGGGUGCUCCUGCAGUUCAAACAGGAAGCAUGCUGAUCCAUCUCAGGCUUCGCACUUGGUAGGAUCUUGAGUUUGGGAUAGCGAAGUCGAUUCUGGACGAGAAUCGAGCCCCUGCGAAGAAGCACGCAAUCAGACAGGAGGUGGUUUGAAGAUAAUUGGUCAACACGACGCGGGACUUAUCCUGCAGUGUGAUUGAUUAUACCUGCAGUAAGUCACGAGAAGGCUCGGUUACUGCAAAAGUUUUUCAUUCGCACUCUGCAACGAUGAUUCUUCAAUUGUUGUCCCUCCCCACUGCAAUUGGAGAAUCGUUGUUGCAGUAAUUCCUGAUUUCGAAGGAGACUAAUUCUUUGUAUACAGAAACUGUAGGGGGCAUGAAGGUCUUUGAACCCGAAAUGUUUUCUGCAACUUCCAUGUUUCUCGAAUAUAUCCAGACCCUUACCGAGUGAGAUACAAAGUUUGCAGGAACUGUGAGAUAUCGAAGUGAGGACCGUGUCGUUGUUCGAAGGCAGUAAUUUUCAUUCCACUAGAUACUGUUGUAAUUACACUGGAAUCACUGAAAUCGUCUGUCACCCCUCUCAGCGUGCCACCUUUCAACUCAUUCAAAACCUUCAGUUAGAUACCUGAGAACGAAGUAUUGUGGCCAAUAGCUGGUCCGUAGGAUAAGGAAAGAAAGAAACAACGUUGUGUAUGACCAAAGAUCAGGUGCCACCACUGCCGACUCGUGCAAAACGAUUGCUCCAGGCUGUGCUGAUAUGUCACAGGUGUCAUCUUACAGUGAUCAUAAGCUUUCGGCGGUCUUUCCACCCAAGCACAGAACCCUAUUCUACUAGGUCAAAAAAUCAGCUAUGGUGUUCGUCAAGGAACACAAUUCAGUUCCUUACUCACGUAGAAUGUGAGUCAAGCUCAUCUGGUGUGGUGGAGCACGACCUUUGGCACGACGCAAAGCGUGCUGUGAGUGAUCCUUCAUGACAGAUACGCUAUUCCAGAACCAUCGAAACUCCAUGCAUAGUCUGGUCUCCAGAUCAACUGCUUGUUGCUCCUGCUUUCAGCUCAAAUAGUCGUGUAGCGGAUUUCGUUGCAUAAACUUGUAAGCUGACCCCAUGUUUGCAUCACUGAACUGCUUGGGCUCAGAUUUCACGAGCUCUCUGUCAGGGACCUCGUCAGCUUCUCAGCAAACUUGCAGCAGAUCAGAUCAGUCAACCUUGCACUCUCUUUGCAGAACUUGUGUAGUAUUAUAUCAUAAGAUGAUCAGUUGCAGUAAUUUUCACCACCGUGGAAACUAUUAGCCACAUUUGUGUGUCGGUGACGUUUUGAGUGCCGAGCAUCAUGUGGUGUUGAUAUAACUGCCUGGUGACGGUUAGAGGUUGAUGUCGAGAAAACGAAAAAACAAAAACUGCUUGUUGCUCAAUCUUCAAUUGUUCAAUCUGACUCAGUAAGCAUAGCGAACUGCAUAGUGAGCAUGUUAGUGUAAAUAAUACUGGUUCUUUCCAUUUAUGUCUUUUCUUGCUUUCUAACACAUCAUGUUUCUAGAA